UUCCGGUUGAUCCUGCCGGAGGUCACUGCUAUGGGAAUUCGACUAAGCCAUGCAAGUUGAGGGCACCUUUUUAGGAGACCCAGCGAACUGCUCAGUAACACGUGGAUAAUCUGCCCACAGGAUGGGGAUAAUCCUGGGAAACUGGGAAUAAUACCCAAUAGAUCAUUGGUACUGGAAUGUCCUUUGAUCCAAAUGCUUUUCUUACGCCUGUGGAUGAGUCUGCGUCCGAUUAGGCUGUUGUUGGGGUAACGGCCCAACAAACCUAUGAUCGGUACGGGUCGUGAGAGCGAUCGCCCGGAGAUUGGAUCUGAGAUAUGAUCCUAGGCCCUACGGGGUGCAGCAGGCGCGAAAACUUUACAAUGUGGGAAACCAUGAUAAGGGAAUUCCCAGUGUUCCUACAUAGUAGGAACUGUUUGGGUGCGUAAAAAACACCUAAUAGAAAGGGCCGGGUAAGACCGGUGCCAGCCGCCGCGGUAAUACCGGUGGCUCGAGUGGUGGCCGCUAUUAUUGGGUCUAAAGGGUCCGUAGCCGGCUUGAUAAGUUACCUGGAAAAUCCGGUGGCCUAACCAUUGGGCGGCCAGGUGAUACUAUCAGGCUUGGGACUAGGAGAGACCAGAGGUACUCAUGAGGUAGGGGUGGAAUCCUGUAAUCUUAUGAGGACCACCAGUGGCGAAGGCGUCUGGUUAGAAUAGGUCCGACGGUAAUGGACGAAGGCUGGGGGCGCAAACCGGAUUAGAUACCCGGGUAGUCCCAGCAGUAAACGAUGCCAGCUAUGUGUUGCUGAAACCAUGGGUUUCAGCAGUGCCGAAGGGGAGCCGUGAAGCUGGCCACCUGGGAAGUACGGCCGCAAGGCUGAAACUUAAAGGAAUUGGCGGGGGAGUACCACAACCGGUGGAGCCUGCGGUUUAAUUGGAGUCAACGCCGGG
rnacentral:rRNA from 1 species